UAAGGAAUAUUGGUCAAUGGACGCAAGUCUGAACCAGCCAUGCCGCGUGAAGGAUGAAGGUCCUCUGGAUUGUAAACUUCUUUUAUCUGGGACGAAAACGGGAUUUUUAUCUCAAUUGACGGUACCAGAGGAAUAAGCACCGGCUAACUCCGUGCCAGCAGCCGCGGUAAUACGGAGGGUGCGAGUGUUAUCCGGAUUUACUGGGUUUAAAGGGUGCGUAGGUGGGCUUAUAAGUCAGUGGUGAAAUCUCCGAGCUUAACUUGGAAACUGCCGUUGAUACUAUAGAUCUUGAAUUAUCUGGAGGUAAGCGGAAUAUGUCAUGUAGCGGUGAAAUGCUUAGAUAUGACAUAGAACACCAAUUGCGAAGGCAGCUUACUACAUAUAAAUUGACGCUGAGGCACGAAAGCGUGGGGAUCAAACA
rnacentral:rRNA from 1 species